GGUAGUCCACGCCCUAAACGUUGUGAACUAGGUGUUGGUCGGAUUGACCCGAUCAGUGCCGCAGCUAACGCAUUAAGUUCACCGCCUGGGGACUACGGCCGCAAGGUUAAACUCAAAGGAAUAGGCGGGGGCCCGCACAAGCAGCGGAGCGUGUGGUUUAAUUCGAGGCGACGCGAAGAACCUUACCUGGGCUUGACAUGCACAGGAAACGCUCAUGAAAGUGAGCGCCUCUCGCAAGAGAUCUGUGCGCAGGUGGUGCAUGGCUGUCGUCAGCUCGUGCCGUGAGGUGUUGGGUUAAG
rnacentral:rRNA from 1 species